rnacentral:rRNA from 1 species
UUUGAUCCUGGCUCAGGAUGAACGCUGGCGGCGUGCUUAACACAUGCAAGUCGAACGAGAACCAUUGGAUCGAGGAUUCGUCCAAGUGAAGGUGGGGAAAGUGGCGGACGGGUGAGUAACGCGUGAGCAAUCUGCCUUGGAGUGGGGAAUAACGGCUGGAAACAGCCGCUAAUACCGCAUGAUACAGCUGGGAGGCAUCUCCCUGGCUGUCAAAGAUUUAUCGCUCUGAGAUGAGCUCGCGUCUGAUUAGCUAGUUGGCGGGGUAACGGCCCACCAAGGCGACGAUCAGUAGCCGGACUGAGAGGUUGGCCGGCCACAUUGGGACUGAGACACGGCCCAGACUCCUACGGGAGGCAGCAGUGGGGAAUAUUGGGCAAUGGGCGCAAGCCUGACCCAGCAACGCCGCGUGAAGGAAGAAGGCUUUCGGGUUGUAAACUUCUUUUGUCAGGGACGAAGCAAGUGACGGUACCUGACGAAUAAGCCACGGCUAACUACGUA